GAUGAACGCUGGCGGCGUGCCUAAUACAUGCAAGUCGAGCGAACAGACGAGGAGCUUGCUCCUCUGACGUUAGCGGCGGACGGGUGAGUAACACGUGGAUAACCUACCUAUAAGACUGGGAUAACUUCGGGAAACCGGAGCUAAUACCGGAUAAUAUAUUGAACCGCAUGGUUCAAUAGUGAAAGACGGUUUUGCUGUCACUUAUAGAUGGAUCCGCGCCGCAUUAGCUAGUUGGUAAGGUAACGGCUUACCAAGGCAACGAUGCGUAGCCGACCUGAGAGGGUGAUCGGCCACACUGGAACUGAGACACGGUCCAGACUCCUACGGGAGGCAGCAGUAGGGAAUCUUCCGCAAUGGGCGAAAGCCUGACGGAGCAACGCCGCGUGAGUGAUGAAAGUCUUCGGAUCGUAAAACUCUGUUAUUAGGGAAGAACAAAUGUGUAAGUAACUAUGCACGUCUUGACGGUACCUAAUCAGAAAGCCACGGCUAACUACGU
rnacentral:rRNA from 1 species